CUCCGUGGCCCACAGCUGGAGUAUUUAUCAGGAGACAAACAGGAUGUGUCCCUCCCUUCCCUCACUGACAGCACACAUCUCAAACUGGAGCUGAUACAGAGCUUUUAUCCUGACUCCGACUGUCAAAUGACCAGUUGCUGGUGCAGUGGAGGUGCAGUGGGUAAUGGGAGAAGAGAAUGGAUUUUUGUUAGCUGAAGAUUGAUUUCAGUGAUUUUAGGAGCAGGAAUUCCCAGUGAAACAUGGCUUUGGCUCAGUGCUCUACAGUCCAGUCUGCCUGGUGCAAUGUAUGAUGGAUGAGAGCGAGCAAAGCUGAGAGCAGGGCUAAGGUGGAUCUGCCUGGAUUUAUUUCCCUCUUCUGUGCUUUGCUUUGUGUUUCUCCUGCCCCACAGCUGCCUGAACCCAGCCAGGUUUUAAUGGGGAGACAGCAGUGAGCCAGGGCUGCUUGCUUCAUGAAUCAGGGGGAGCUGAAAUUCUGCAGCACUGAAGACCAUUUUCAAAGGCAAUUUCGUGGACUAUUUUUUUUCUGAUUCCAAGUGGUGUCUGGCCACAUUUCUGCAUGGAGCUCAUCUAGGACACGCUGCCAAGCCUGAGAUGUGAGGCCAGGCCAGUGCCACCCACUGUUCUCAGCUGUGUGAUGCUCCACUGCAAGCUGGAGGAAAACAGAAAGGAAAAAAGCCACGAGUUUUGGUGCCUCCUUCCUUCCCAGGGAGAUUCUGAUGGGUGGCUGUAUUGCACAGCUUUAGAGAGCACGUCCUUGAAAAUUACAGCUCUUAGCUCUAUUCUGUCUUCCUACGCAGUGGUUUGGGAUCGACAAAUAUUUUCUGUUCUAAAAGGAGAGGAAGGAUCACAAGGUUAUCAGCUGCGUUCAGACACUGCCCGCACUGCUCCUUUGUGGAGAAGGACACUCAGAGAGCCCAAAUUUCUGAUUUGACCUCCCACACAAGGAGAAGACUUCCAAAAAUGGAUGGCAACUGAAACUGGAUUUGUCGUCUCUGACUGUUCAAAUACCUUGACGUUCCCCAGCAUUUACCAUCAGGGAAAGGUAACAAGUGUGGUGACAAAGAGAACACCUGGAAGACUCUUAGCUGUGUCAGCGGCUGGAAACCUGAGGGGUUACCCUGGAGUUCUCCUGUGUCCUGGAGGACCACAUCUCCCAUGGCAUCUGGCUUUGGAUGCAAGCACAGCAAGGGACAAAGGGACCUUAGGGAGGUGGCCCUGAAGGGAACAAUGCCUGGCAGUCCAGGAUCCUAGACAGCCCAAAAGUCUUGGAGUAUUCUCCUGAUUCUCCUGCCACCCAUGAGCUCUCUGCUGUUUUCAGGCUGUUGGAUUCCUCAGGCAAAGACCGUGUGCAGAAGUGGAAUUUUUCUUGUACUGGGGCUUGCUUGGGCAGGAAGACUUCAGCACUUGCAGGGCUGAGUGGCCGCCACCCUGUGACAGACUCCAGUGACCAGUAGGACUGGCCUGGGAGGACUCCCUGCUGCAGCCUGGCUGGUCUUCACAGCAGCCCCAGAAACUCUUCCCUGACCUCACCUUUGUUUCCUGCUGCCUUUCUUUGUUUGCUGGCUUGGUGCAGGAAGUAUUUGUCUGACAUCUCCCAGUACCUGAACUUUACUAGGAUUGCUGGGAGCAUCUCCUGAGGUUUUGAAAGACUCCUUCAUUGUCAAUAGAGUUAAAUCCUUCUACCUGCAGAGCCCUGUUUAGAUGAUGAGAUAACUCGCUGUGGUUAUGAACAUGCUGCACAAACCUGCAGCAUCUUCAACGCACCUUGGUCCUUUUUACCUCCUUUACCCUGACCAGCUUUCCCAGUGCUUUUAGAGGCGAUUGGGAACCUCAGAGUGAAAUCCCUGACUGAUGUGGGAUUCUGCAGCUCCUGAGCCCAAGGCAUUCCCACUUGGACACCACUUGAUAGCAUGGCUGAACUUACCAGUGGCAUGUUCAACAUUUACUGGUAGCAGUGGUGGUAGACAGAGAUCCCCCAUAUUGGGUCAGUCCAAAAUGGAGAGUCUAAAUAACAAGAUUUUUGCUUAGAUUGACAUUUUAGAAAUGGUUAUAGAAAAAGGCAGCUAUUCCUUGCAGGAGACAAGAGGCAGAAGUAACAUUAUUAUUAUUAUUACUGGUCUCAGUGCAGCUCUUUUCCCUCAUAGCAUCAGCCUGCUCCCUCCUUGGUUCAUUUGCUUUUAAUGUGGAGCCACAGGGCCACCAGAGAAAGCUCAGAGAACCCCCCCACCCCCACUUCUGCUGUGGUUUUAUAUUCACCUCACCUGCUGACUGUUUUAAUUUCUCAAGCAUUUCUUCACUAGAAUUUUAUAAAUGCAUUGAGUUUCCUGAUAUUAUCGGCUGCUCAAAUCCUGUUCCUAUGCCAGGCAGAGCAGGCAGCUCCUUCUCCUCCUCAAAACCAGGGUAGGGUCUGUUUCUGUCCCCUGUAGCUCUGCUAUCAAGUGCUGUUUUCCUAGGACAGGCUUGGAGUGAAAUCAAAAUUCCCUCCCUGGAGCCCACACAGACAUCCUGCUGCUGCUGUGCCAGGGAGGAGAGCAGGAGAGCCCAGCCCAGGCAGGGAGAAGUCCCUGGCAGGGAAUUCUGCAGGCCAGAGCAGCCAGGCACUGGCAGGUCAGGGAAGGUGCUCCUGCAAGGCUGUGUUUCACAGAAACACAAUUUCACAGAAUCACAGAAUCACUUGGUUGGAAGAGACCUUCAAGAUCAUCACGUCCAGCCCAUGCCCUAAACACCUUAACUAAACCAUGGCACCAAGUGCCACAUUCUGUCUGUUUUUAAACACAUCCAGGGAUGGUGACUCCACCACAAGCACAGGCAGGCCAUUCCAAUAUUUUAUCACUCUUUCUGUGAGAAACUUCUUUCUAAUAUCCAGGAAGAUUUGCCUCCUGGCUCUGCAAAAUAGGUUCAAGAUCACAGAAAAUUUUGUCUCAAGGAGGAGCUUUGAAGCUUGUCUAGGACACCCAGUUCCACAUUUAAGGCAGAGUAUACACAAGUGGGGGAUGUCACUGUGGAGGCUGGUGGGCCAACAGGGAAAAACCCACAAACCUCCUCUGGAAGGGAAACCCUUCAAGCCAUAACCACCGUUGUUAGGGUGAGGAAAAAGGCUUCUCCCAGCAUGCCUUGCUGUGACAUGCAGAUUCAGUGUAUCCCAUUGGCCCUUCCCCCUCACUCCACCCCUGUGCCCUCACCCCAUUGGCCCUGGUGUUCUGCCCCGCCCCUCAACAUCCCCAUAAUAAACUCUGCUUUCCCUGCUGAGUGGGUCUUUUGUUCCUGGACUCUUUCAAGGAAGAGCCUCAAUAAGGGCUCCCCUUGGAGCCCCACACAAAGACCCAUCUCUCCUUCUGCAUUGCCUGGAUCCCAGAAGAGCUGAAAUCACCUGGUGUGAGCACAGACGUGCCCGUGCCCCGAGAAUCAUCAUUAAGAUGAUUCUUCUGGAAGCACUCUUUGAACACCACCUGCUGCCAUAUGCCACCAUCAGCCUUUAGUGCUGCACUCCAGCUGUGCCCAAACAUCUGUGCCCACAUGCCAGAGCCUCUGAGCACAACUGCAGGCGCUGCCCAAGGAGGAUUUUUUGGGCAGAAAAGUUUUUAGUUGGUAUUCAGCUAUAUGUAAGGUGAAAACCAACCCUGCUGCUCCAUCUCAGCUCAUUUCCUGGCAGGUUGAGUUGCAUGUGAGUAAUGUGUGUCCAGAGCCAGGGAAUGGCUGUGGUUGGAAAAGGAACCAUAGCUGUAUUCUCAUGGAAUGAUGGAAUGGGAUGGGUUGGAAGGGACCUUAAAAACCACCUCAGUCCACCCCUGGCCAUAGGUAGGGACACCUUCCACCAUGACUGGGUGCUCCAAGUCCCAUCCAGCCAGGCCUUGGUCACUUCCAGGGAUGGGGAUUCCAUCUGGCAGGGCUGGAGCAUGUCCCUGCCAUCCAUUGAUUCUAUUUGUUGGAGAGAAAUGUGAAAGAGGAAAUAUCAAAAUACAGUUUUUGGAAGAUCUGAAGUUCCUUACAAUAACCCUCAGAGCUGUCUGGGACAUGUAAUUCUGGGGGAUUUUCUGUAGUCUCAAAACCAGCAAAUGGCCCUCUUUGACUCACAAAUAACAGCCCAGGUCACCAACUUUUCUUCAAUUUGAAGCUUGAACAAGACCUUUUUACUUGGGUCUGUUGAAAUAUAUUUAAAAAGAUGGGGAAAUGGUGAAAUAGGUGGCUAAAAAGUGGUUAGUGGUUAAUAAAUGAUUUAAUAGCUGGCUUUAAACAGUUCUUGUAAUUGAGGCUUUUUAAAAUUCAUGUUCAUAUAGGAAAACCAGAGUUUUUUGCUUAGAAAGUAUUGAAAUGGAAUCUUCUUUUUCUAAUUUCAUUUUAUAUUGUGGUUAGUGUGAUUGAAGAAGCUAAUUGACUAUGUCCCUCUCCCCUGAACAGUUUUGGUUUCAGUAACUGGUAUUUACUCUGUGGAAAAGACUUCAUGGAAAAGCUUCAGGUGGAUCCAAUCAGAUUUCUACAAGAAAGGGCCAAGCGAAACUUGCUAUUUUUUAACAACAAUUUCUCAGUGAUCUGAGUUUUGAAUGUAGCUCCUUUCCAGAUUCAGAAAUGUGUGUAUGGAAUGUACAGAUCCAGGAGACAGAAUAUUCUCUCUGAAAGCUGCUCACCUCGGCAGGAACAUUUCACAUCCAAAAUGAACAAGGAGAGGAAGAGCCUGAAAUUGCCAAGUGUUUUGUGCUAAGAGCUUUAAUGUGGGAUUUAGAGAUUUUUUAUUCAGUUUUCUGGGCUGAACAGAGCUAAAGAAUUUAAAUCUUUUAAGUUUUGGGCCUUUGAUGAUGUUUGGUCACCAGUUGAACCCUGACUAAUGCAGGCUGAUACUUUGAUUUUGUCCAGGCUUAAAAGUAUUUGGAUAAAGGCAGAAAGUUUAUUUCUAAAAACCCAGAAACUUUGCUUUUUGAAAAAGCCUCACAAUGUCCACUGGAGACAAAAAGUGCAAGUUUUUGGAUUUUUGUAACAAAAAUUAUUUCUUGCCAACUACAGCUAUUAUUAGCAUGGCUAUUAUUGUUGUUAUUAUUAACUAUUUUUCUUCAUUUAUUUGCAAAACUCUUCUGCUGUUUUAGAGAUCUCAAACACAAGCAUUAUUUUUUUUUUUAUUUUGAAAUUAAGAUAAAAAUAAAACAUCAGGUCAUUCAAAUGAUUCUGUUUAAUAUUUUGUAUUUUUUGAACUACCAGA